ensembl:snRNA U6 U6 spliceosomal RNA
AUGCUCGCUUCGGCAGCACAUAUACUAAAAUUGGAACGAUACAGAGAAGAUUAGCACGGCCCCUGCGCAAGGGAGAGUAACUAUUUCCUUAAGUGCUUUGAGGGAUA